rnacentral:tRNA from 9 species
GCCCCCGUAUCCCAAUUGGUAGAGGAAACGGCCUCAAAAUCCGUGCAGUGUGAGUUCGAGUCUCACCGGGGGCACGA